GAUGUUGUGGCCGAGUGGUUAAGGCGUCAGAUUUAGGCUCUGAUGAUUCCGAUCUCGCGAGUUCGAAUCUCGUCAACAUCA